ensembl:lncRNA
AAAAAAAAAAUAAAAAAUUAUAUUUUAAAGAAAUGCUGUUCUUUUUAACUUUAUUUAUUAAAGAAUACUGGAAAAGAUAUGUCACGCUUUUUCACAAAAAAAAAAAAAAAAUAUGCAGCAAAAACUAUAUUUAACAUUUAUGUGACAAGAACCACAUAAUGAAAGCCAUAAUUAAUAACUGAGCAGCAAAUCAGCAUAUUAGGAUCAUUUCUGAAGGAUCACGUGACACUGAAGACUGGAGUAAUGAUGCUGAAAAUUCAGCUUCGCAUCAGAGGAUUAAAUUACAUAUUAAAAUAUAUUACAAUAGAAAACAGUUAUGUUGUAUGCAGCUUCGGUGAGCACGAGAGACUUCAUUCAAAAACAUAUUAAAAGUCCAAUUAUGCCAAACUCAUUUUACACUUGUUUAUCAUGUGUCCAUUUCUCAACAGGUGAGGGUCUGUCAAAAUUGUGAAAAUUAUUUGGAAACUAUUUUAGAUAAAGCUCGUAAAUAUGAUCAGCAGUCAGAUGUGCAGCUGUCAAUGGAGUGAUCUGACCAGAGGAGGCGCUCUUCACCCACUAAUGCUGCAGAUGUGAAGAAAAACUGACUUGGAGCUCACAGAGACUUAUGUCUUUCAUACCUUCAUACCUCUCAGUCAUUCAGAAGUGGUGUUUUAUGACCUUGUGAUAUGAUUUUCCUUUAAGGUCAUCGAUGGACUGUGAAACAGACUGCUCUCUGCUGUUGCAAGUGAAAUUUGAUGUGUAAUAUCUCAGUGUUUCAUAGGAUUGACAAACACAUUACUUGUAGGCAUCAUCUGUGUGUCAUAAAGUUGAUCACUGUUUGGGAUCUGCAUUCAAACAUUUUACCUCUCCUCAAAAACAUUGUUGCAAAAUGCUAUUUAAGCUUUUCAAAGUAAAGAUGUUGAAAAGACUGUACACUGAUUCUAGGUACCUUUUCUCUGAUGUCUCAUAUUGCCCUCUAGUGCUAGAUUACAUGCAUGCCAGUUGUUUUAGGCUGUAAAAUAUGAACCUGCUCAAAAUAAAGAUUUUAAUAUUAAAAAGUGA